rnacentral:lncRNA from 1 species
UGCCAACGAAACUGCUCAUGGUUAUUCCUGAAGGAAUGAGUUUGUCGUUAGAUCGUCGUAGUGCCUUCAUAACAGAUACGAGUAUGAUAUUAACCGUCGCCCCACAAUCGACGAAAAUUUUGGAGAUUGGAUAACUGAUGUGGUAGAAACUAACACACAAAUUAAACCCUAUAAUUUAGAUGAUUGUAGUAUGAGCAAGUAGGGAUUGUUCUUGGCCAAGGAUAAGGAGGGAUGCUAAUCAACACGAAUUAAACUAAAAAGGUGAAAACUAAGCUAGACUAACACAAAAUAAGAACGGAGGGGUUUUUUGGAUGAAUUUUAACAAAAAAUAAAGUAAAUUGCAGCAAACGAAUUAGGUCUUAUAUGAGAUAUAGGUAAAAAGCUAGCUAGAAGAUUGUUCUCCACACAUCAAACAUAUGCACACAAAUCGAUUUCCAAUUAUUAUU